rnacentral:rRNA from 1 species
UACGGGGGGUGCAAGCGUUGUUCGGAAUUACUGGGCGUAAAGGGCGCGUAGGCGGCCAACUAAGUCAGACGUGAAAUCCCUCGGCUUAACCGGGGAACUGCGUCUGAUACUGGAUGGCUUGAGUUCGGGAGAGGGAUGCGGAAUUCCAGGUGUAGCGGUGAAAUGCGUAGAUAUCUGGAGGAACACCGGUGGCGAAGGCGGCAUCCUGGACCGGCACUGACACUGAGGAGCGAAAGCCAGGGGAGCAAACGGG